rnacentral:rRNA from 1 species
CCUACGGGAGGCAGCAGUGGGGAAUUUUGGACAAUGGGCGAAAGCCUGAUCCAGCAAUGCCGCGUGAGUGAAGAAGGCCUUCGGGUUGUAAAGCUCUUUUGUCAGGGAAGAAACGGUGAAAGCUAAUAUCUUUUGCUAAUGACGGUACCUGAAGAAUAAGCACCGGCUAACUACGUGCCAGCAGCCGCGGUAAUACGUAGGGUGCAAGCGUUAAUCGGAAUUACUGGGCGUAAAGCGUGCGCAGGCGGUUUUGUAAGUCUGAUGUGAAAUCCCCGGGCUCAACCUGGGAAUUGCAUUGGAGACUGCAAGGCUAGAAUCUGGCAGAGGGGGGUAGAAUUCCACGUGUAGCAGUGAAAUGCGUAGAUAUGUGGAGGAACACCGAUGGCGAAGGCAGCCCCCUGGGUCAAGAUUGACGCUCAUGCACGAAAGCGUGGGGAGCAAACAGGAUUAGAUACCCUGGUAGUCCACGCCCUAAACGAUGUCUACUAGUUGUCGGGUCUUAAUUGACUUGGUAACGCAGCUAACGCGUGAAGUAGACCGCCUGGGGAUACGGUCGCAAGAUUAAAACCGNGAAAGGAUUGGACGGCGUGAGAGUAGACGAGACGACGACGAGGGAGGAGG